CCCCCUCCCCCACGUCUGGACGGAGUCCCCUUCCAUCUCUCCCCCCUUUCUUCUUCCUCCCCACGCCAGCCGCCGCCCGGGACCUACCUAGGGUUUCCCCGCGCCGCCGCCGAAUCGCAGAGCAGGAGGAGGAGAGGAGAUGGGCACGCCGGAGACCUCGCGGGAGCCGUGCCCGGACCGCAUCCUCGACGACGUUGGCGGCGCGUUCGGGAUGGGGGCGGUGGGCGGCUCCAUCUUCCAUUUCCUCAAGGGCACCUACAACUCGCCCAACGGCGAGCGCCUGCUCGGCGGGGCCCAGCAGGUGCGCUUGAACGCGCCGCGCGUCGGCGGGAGCUUCGCCGUCUGGGGCGGCCUCUUCUCCGCCUUCGACUGCACCAUGGUCUUCGUGCGCCAGAAGGAGGACCCCUGGAACUCCAUCAUAGCCGGCGCCGCCACGGGAGGCUUCCUCUCCAUGCGCCAGGGCCCCGGCGCCGCCGGACGCUCCGCGCUCAUGGGCGGCUGCCUCCUCGCGCUCAUCGAGGGCGCCGGCCUCAUGCUCAACCGCGUCCUCGCCGCGCCGCAGAACCUCCCGCCGCUCCCCACCGACGACCCCAACCUGGCCGGCGCGAUGGUGGGGGGAGCCGGCGGCUUCCAAGGCGUUGGCGGCUUCCCAAGCAUGCCCCAGCAACCCGUGCCCACUGCGGAGGUCGUCAGCCCCAGCGGCGGCGGUAGCUGGUUCGGGGGCCUCUUCGGCAAGAAGGAGGAGGAGAAGAAGCCCAGCGGCAGCGGCAGCGGCGGCAAGUCGGAGAUAUUAGAGGGCUUUGACACGCCCAGCCCUCCGAUACCAUCCUUCGACCUCAAGUGAAAAAAAAGGACAUGAUUGAUCGUGGUAUUCAUUGCUGUGGUUUAUAUUUCAUCGCUCUUAACUCCGAGGAAGCUUUUGUGGUUAAUUAUUUUCCCCUGAGUUCUGCCUCCUACUUCCACCACAAAGCACUAAAUCUUCAGGUGGCCUUUCACCAUGGAUUGUGGGAGGUUCUGCCUUCCAUUUUCUCAAGGCUGCAUGUCCUCUAGACUGUAAAAUAGCUUUAUGUGAUCUAUGAGUAGUUCAGUUCAGUAUGUAGGUUUGUGGAAGACUUAAUGUUGGUUGCUUCAUCUUAAACUAUUAGUGGUGCGUUAUUCUAUGGCUGUCUGUUUAUGAGCUGGUAGAGCUUGUUAUGUUCUAUAUGGACAUGAGAAUAAAUCUGUCAAGAAUAUUAGGUCUUGUUUGCUUUUAUCAUGUUGUCUUACUCCAUUUGAGAACUCAUAGGCCCGUGUUUAAUUGUGAUAGAGAACAUGGUAAACAUUCCUUUUUAUCUA